UAUUGAUUGUUAACUUUUUUUAUACGGGGAUAACACCCUUUACGUGUAGAUGUCUGCAUGUACCGUAUGAAUAAGCAUCGGCUAACUCCGUGCCAGCAGCCGCGGUAAUACGGAGGAUGCGAGCGUUAUCCGGAUUUAUUGGGUUUAAAGGGAGCGUAGACGGGAUGUUAAGUCAGUUGUGAAAUGCUGUGGCUCAACCAUAGCACUGCAGUUGAUACUGGCGUUCUUGAGUGCGUAUGAGGUAUGUGGAAUUCGUGGUGUAGCGGUGAAAUGCUUAGAUAUCACGAAGAACUCCGAUUGCGAAGGCAGCGUACCAAUCCGUAACUGACGUUGAUGCUCGAAAGUGUGGGUAUCAAACAGGAUUAGAUACCCUGGUAGUCCACACGGUAAACGAUGGAUACUCGCUGUUGGCGAUAUAUUGUCAGCGGCCAAGUGAAAACGUUAAGUAUCCCACCUGGGGAGUACGCCGGCAAGGGUGAAACUCAAGGGAAUUGACGGGGGCCC
rnacentral:rRNA from 1 species